UUUCGAACAGUUAAAAGACAAACGUCAUUUUUACUUUUUUCUUUCCUUUUUUUUUUUUUUUUUUUAUCGAUUACUACACAAUUCUAAUUCCCUUAAAAAUUACUGAAUUUUUAAUAAUUCGAGAUAAUAUAUAAGUAUUAAUUUAUAGCGGAUGAGAUAUAUUUAUCAAUUUAAUUAAUUCUCAAUGCCAAUUAGUAAAAUGAUAAUCAAAAAAAAAAAAAGAAAUCCAUAAUCUAUAACUUUGACAAUUUUUCGAACACCAAAGUGUUCUUUUUUAAUUGCACGUUCCUUCUCGCGCGUUAGACUAAUGAAAAAUCUUAGAAAAAAAAAAAGAA